ACUGGCAUAAUGAUGAUUACCUCUUGCCGUUUACCCAUCUGACAAUAUGUUGAUGUGUAAGGUUGAAUCUGAGAUGCCAGA
rnacentral:snoRNA from 1 species